rnacentral:rRNA from 1 species
GUACACGCUGUGACUAGCAUAUCAAUAAGCGGAGGAAAAGAAACCUAACAAGGAUUCCCCUAGUAACGGCGAGUGAAGCGGGAAGAGCUCAAAUUUGAAAUCUUAAAGGGUUUCCCUUUACGAAUUGUAGUUUAAAGAAGUGUUUUCUGUUGAGGUUUUGGUAAAAGUUCUUUGGAAUAGGACAUCAUAGAGGGUGAGAAUCCCGUAUUUGACCUUUACUUUCAACUUUGUGAUACACUUUCAAAGAGUCGGAUUGUUUGGGAAUGCAGUCCAAAAUGGGUGGUAAAUUUCAUCUAAAGCUAAACAUUGGCGAGAGACCGAUAGCGAACGAGUACCGUGAGGGAAAGAUGAAAAGAACUUUGAAAAGAGAGUUAAACAGUACGUGAAAUUGUCAAAAGGGAAGCGUUUGACACCAGUGUUGUUUUUCUGAAAAUCAAUUAAAGAACUGUUUAUGCUAAGCUGUUUAGACUUUAUCAGCUAACUGUUUAGUUUUGAGCUUUUCUUUAAUGCACUUUUCAGUUAACAAGUCAACAUCAAUUUCUUUUGCUGUAAAAAAGCUUGAGGAAGGUGGCUUGAGAUUCGUCUUAAGUGUUUAUAGCCUCUUGCCUAUGCAGUCGGAGAGAUUGAGGUCUGCAGCGUAGAUCCUUCGGGGCUAAAUGCAUUUGUGCUAAGUUAUAGCAUUUUAUAGACAACUUGUUGACUAUGAUUUGUCUUGUAGCUUACUCGCUUAUGUUAUUUUACCUACGCUUAGGAUGUUGAGUCGUAGAGCACGCAG